UACGGGGGGGAGCAAGCGUUGUUCGGAUUUACUGGGCGUAAAGGGCGCGUAGGCGGUCGUGACAAGUCACUUGUGAAAUCUCCGGGCUUAACUCGGAACGGUCAAGUGAUACUGUCGGACUAGAGUACAGAAGGGGCAACUGGAAUUCUCGGUGUAGCGGUGAAAUGCGUAGAUAUCGGGAGGAACACCAGUGGCGAAGGCGGCACUCUGGGCCGGUACUGACGCUGAGGAGCGAAAGCGUGGGGAGCGAACAGG
rnacentral:rRNA from 1 species